ACAGGUAUAAAGCUGAAACUGGAACGGGGGAACCAUUCCGGGGGCGUAUCUUCUUUAUUUGCUCUCUUCCUAAUGAUGGAGAGGUAAAGAAGAGGGGCAUCUCUCAGCCCUAGCCCGUCAGCUAACCCCGUCGGCAUCGAGAAGAGACUGA
rnacentral:sRNA from 2 species